UACAGGGGGUGCAAACGUUACUCGGAAUCAUUGGGCGUAAAGAGCGCGUAGGCGGUUUGAUAAGUUAGAUGUGAAAUCCCCAGGCUCAAUCUGGGAAGUGCAUUUAAUACUGUCAGGCUAGAGUAUAGGAGGGGAGAACGGAAUUCCUGGUGUAGAGGUGAAAUUCAUAGAUAUCAGGAGGAACAACAGUGGCGAAGGCGGUUCUCUGGACUAUUACUGACGCUGAGGCGCGAAAGCGUGGGGAGCAAACAGG
rnacentral:rRNA from 1 species